rnacentral:rRNA from 1 species
UUGGUUAACGGCAUGUUAGACACAUCGGGUCUUUCCAAGGAAUGGUGGGGGGAGGCGCUAAUGACCGUGUGUCAUGUCCUAAACCGAGUUCCCACAAAGCAUAAGACCAUGACUCCAUUUGAGGAAUGGGAAAGGAAAAGGUUGAAACUCUCUUACCUACGUUCUUGGGGUUGUUUGGCGAAAGUCAAUAUACCAAUUCCCAAGAAGCGCAAGCUUGGACCAAAAACCGUGGAUUGUGUUCUUCUGGGCUAUGCUUUUCAUAGCAUUGGCUAUAGAUUUUUGAUAAUAAAUUCUGAGGUAUCCGACAUGCAUGUUGGUACGAUUAUGGAGUCUAAUGAUGCAACUUUCUUUGAGAACAUAUUUCCUAUGAAGGAUAUGUCAAGCUCAUCAAAUCAGGAGAUACCUAUUCCAUCUAGUGAGGAACUCACUGUAAUUCCUGAACCCACCAUUGCGAUGGAACACGUUGAGAAUCCUCUUGAGGGUAACAAUGAAAAUCCUGUAAGGAGUAAGAGAAAGAGGACUGCAAAGUCCUUUGGUGAUGAUUUCAUUGUGUACCUUGUGGAUGACACACCCAGGACUAUUUCAGAAGCCUAUGCAUCUCCUGAUGCUGACUACUGGAAGGAAGCUGUUCGUAGCGAGAUGGAUUCCAUCUUAGCUAACGGGGCCUGGGAGAUCACUGACCGUCCUUAUGGGUGCAAACCUGUAGGAUGUAAGUGGGUGUUCAAGAAGAAGCUUAGACCUGAUGGUACGAUUGAAAAGUACAAGGCACGGCUUGUGGCUAAGGGUUAUACCCAGAAAGAAGGUGAAGACUUCUUUGAUACUUACUCACCCGUGGCUAGACUGACCACAAUUCGGGUGCUACUAUCACUGGCUGCCUCACAUGGUCUUCUCGUUCAUCAAAUGGACGUUAAGACGGCUUUCCUCAAUGGAGAGUUGAAGGAGGAAAUUUACAUGGAUCAGCCAGAUGGUUUUGUAGUACCUGGUCAAGAAGGAAAGGUGUGCAAGUUAUUAAAGUCUUUAUAUGGCCUUAAGCAAGCUCCUAAGGAGUGGCAUGAGAAGUUCGAAAGAACAUUAACUGCUGCCGGCUUUGUAGUAAAUGAUGGUGACAAGUGUGUGUACUAUCGCCAUGGUGGGGGCGAAGGUGUUAUUCUUUGUCUGUAUGUCGACGACAUAUUGAUCUUUGGAACCAAACUUGAUUUAAUCAAGGAGGUUAAGGAUUUCUUAUCUCGCUGUUUUGAGAUGAAGGAUCUAGGAGUAGCUGAUGUUAUCUUAAACAUCAAGCUAUUGAGAGAUGAGAAUGGUGGGAUCACACUACUUGAGUCUCACUAUGUGGAAAAGGUUUUGAGUCGUUUUGGGUAUAGCGACUGCACGCCUUCUCCAACUCCAUAUGAUGCUAGUGUGUUGCUUCGAAAGAAUCAACGGAUUGCUAGAGAUCAACUGAGGUAUUCUCAGAUUAUUGGCUCGCUUAUGUAUUUGGCGAGUGCCACGAGGCCUGACAUCUCUUUUGCUGUGAGCAAGCUGAGUCGGUUUGUGUCAAAACCGGGAGAUGAUCAUUGGCGUGCGCUUGAGAGAGUUAUGCGCUACUUGAAGGGCACUACGAGCUAUGGGAUUCACUACACCGGGUAUCCAAGGGUACUGGAGGGUUAUAGUGACUCGAACUGGAUAUCUGAUGCUGAUGAGAUUAAGGCCACAAGUGGUUAUGUUUUUACACUUGGUGGUGGCGCUGUUUCCUGGAAGUCUUGCAAGCAAACCAUCUUAACGAGGUCAACUAUGGAAGCAGAACUCACAGCAUUAGACACUGCCACUGUUGAAGCAGAGUGGCUUCGUGAGCUAUUGAUGGACUUACCUAUGGUUGAAAAACCAAUACCCCCUAUCCUGAUGAACUGUGAUAAUCAAACUGUGAUCGUCAAGAUAAACAGUUCUAAGGACAAUAUGAAGUCCUCAAGGCAUGUGAAGAGGAGAUUAAAAUCUGUCAGGAAACUGAGGAACUCCGGAGUUAUUACGUUGGAUUAUAUC